CCUACGUGAGGCAGCAGUGGGGAAUAUUGCGCAAUGGGCGAAAGCCUGACGCAGCGACGCCGCGUGAGGGAUGAAGGUCUUCGGAUCGUAAACCUCUGUCAGCAGGGAAGAACGGUCACUGUGCUAAUCAGCAGUGAAUUGACGGUACCUGCAAAGGAAGCACCGGCUAACUCCGUGCCAGCAGCCGCGGUAAUACGGAGGGGGCGAGCGUUAAUAGGAAUUACUGGGCGUAAAGCGCUCGUAGGCGGUAUGUCAAGUCAAGGGUGAAAUCCCCGCGCUCAACGUGGGAACUGCCUUUGAAACUGGCAAACUGGAGUGUGUGAGAGGAUAGUGGAAUUCCAGGUGUAGGAGUGAAAUCCGUAGAUAUCUGGAGGAACAUCAGUGGCGAAGGCGACUAUCUGGCACAUAACUGACGCUGAGGAGCGAAAGCGUGGGUAGCAAACAGGAUUAGAUACCCCUGUAGUC
rnacentral:rRNA from 1 species